GAUGAACGCUGGCGGCGUGCUUAACACAUGCAAGUCGAACGAUGAAGCCCAGCUUGCUGGGUGGCGUAGUGGCGAACGGGGGAGUAACACGUGAGUAACCUGCCCUUAACUCUGGGAUAAGCCUUGGUAACUGGGUCUAAUACCGGAUAGGAGCGCCUACCGCAUGGUGGGUGUUGGAGAGGUUUAUCGGUUUUGGAUGGACUCGCGGCCUAUCAGCUUGUUGGUGAGGUAUUGGCUCACCAAGGCGACGACCGGUAGCCGGCCUGAGAGGGUGACCGGCCACACUGGGACUGAGACACGGCCCAGCCUCCUACGGGAGGCAGCAGUGGGGAAUAUUGCACAAUGGGCGGAAGCCUGAUGCAGCCACGCCGCGUGAGGGAUGACGGCCUUCGGGUUGUAAACCUCUUUCAGUUGGGAAGAAGCGAAAGUGACGGUACCUGGAGAAGAAGCACCGGCUAACUACGUG
rnacentral:rRNA from 1 species